rnacentral:misc_RNA from 1 species
GCCCAUCUAUUUUAAUAAAAACUUCCUAAAUUCUUGGUUCCAUUGUAUAUUUUCAUUCCUUCAUUAAUUUUUGCCAAUUUAUCUACUAGUUAAGGGACUAAAAGGUUGUCAAUAAGAGAUUAAAGUAUUAAAAAUAGUAAAAAUUUAAUAACAAAAAUGUUCAUAAUGAUGAGAUGAAAUACUAAUCUUUUAUGAGAGGCAUUAAAGUAUUUCACUUUUUAUUAACAGCAAAAGUUGAGAAAAAU